GCUGGGCUGAAGCCUAACCACUCUUCAUUGGAAAACUCCCUUUCCUUGAUCUGAGCUUUCAAUUCCUUACCUUGACACACAGACAACUUUUGAACUGAGAUCCAAAAAGAAGUAUAGUUGAAGAAGUAUGAAUACAUCAUUGAUGCUUUUCCUGAAGGAACCUGAG